ACCAUGUUUGAAACAGUAGGCAAUAGAGAGAGAGAGAGAGAGGAGAGAGAGAGAGAGAGAAACGUAAUACAAAAGUGAGGGAGUGAGUGUGUUAGUAAGGAGAGAGAGAGAGAGAGAGAGCAAGAAAAACAGCGAGCAAAGCUGAGAAACCCAACAAGGAAUUUUGCACAAUUCAUCAAUUUUGUACAGACAUUAGCGUGUUUGGCCCCAUUUUGGAGUUUUUAUAGGCUUUAUAGCGAAGUCAAAGUCUAUCUGAAUGAGUCGUUUAGGGUUUAAAUCCUUGGUUUACCAUGGUGAUUUGUGUUUGGGCGAAUUGGAUGUUGUUUCGGUUAAAGAUCAGAAUUUCCAGUUCCCAAACAACGAGAUUCGCAUUCACCGAAUUUCACCACCAAGCGAACGAUGUCCUCCCCUCUCGAUUCUCCAAACGAUUUCUUCAUUCUCCGUUCGUUGCAAGCUCGAAUCGUCUUCACCGGUCGAUCAGCCGCAUUUAAUCAAUCUUCACGCUUCCUGCCACUACGAAUUGAGGACAGCUGUGGUAUUGGCCGGGGAUGAAGAGAUUCAUUUGGUAGCGAUGCUCAGUAAGCAAAAGAAGUAUCCACGCUUUUGGUGCUAUUCAGUUCCGAAAGGUUUGUAUAACGCUUCUGUAGGAAUGUUGAAUAUGCGAUGUCUAUCGAUCGUAUUCGAUCUAGAUGAGACUCUAGUUGUUGCGAAUACCAUGAAGUCGUUUGAGGAUAGAAUUGAGUAUCUACGUAGCUUGAUUGCGCGCGAGAUUGAUCCUAUGCGCCUGGCUGGGAUGAAUGCAGAACUGAAGCGCUACAUGGAUGAUCGAUUGAUCUUAAAGCAAUAUGCUGACAAUGAUACUGUGAUGGAUAACGGGAAGGUGUAUAAGGUUCAAAUGGAAGAAGUCCCUCCUUUAUCUGAUAACCAUGAAAGAAAAGUGCGGCCUGUAGUUAGAUUGCAAGAUAAGAAUAUUGUCCUAACCCGCAUUAAUCCCGAGAUUCGUGAUACUAGUGUGCUUGUACGACUACGACCUGCAUGGGAAGAUUUGAGAAGUUAUUUGACUGCAAAAGGAAGGAAAAGAUUUGAAGUUUAUGUUUGUACAAUGGCUGAAAGAGACUAUGCUUUAGAAAUGUGGAGGCUUCUUGAUCCAGGGUCACAUCUCAUUGGUUUAAAGCAACUUCUGGGUCGUGUUGUUUGUGUUAAAUCAGGCUCUAGGAAAUCCUUGAUUAAUGUCUUCCAAGAUGGUGUUUGUCACUCAAAGAUGGCAAUGGUAAUUGAUGAUCGCUCAGAGGUUUGGGAAUAUAAGGAUCAACCUAGAGUGCAUGUAGUUCCAGCAUUCACUCCCUAUUAUGCUCCUCAGGCAGAGACAGCAAAUGCCGUUCCUGUCCUCUGCGUAGCAAGAAAUGUGGCAUGCAAUGUCCGGGGUUGCUUCUUCAAGGAAUUUGAUGAGAUUUUGUUAAGAAGAAUCUCUGAUAUUUUUUAUGAAGAUGAUGUGGCAACUUUACCUCCAUCUCCUGAUGUGAGCAAUUACUUGAUGUCACAGAAUGCUGGUUUUGUACCAAAUGGGGCUCCACUUGUCAAUGAGGGAAUGAAUGGGAUUGAAGUUGAACGUAGAUUGGGCCAGACUGAUGAUAGGCAUAUUAUGGAAUCAACUUCACAUCCUAUGACAAACAAUGCUGAGAUAAGAUCUGAAACCUUUCAGGCUUCUGUUCCAAUUCUUCCAAAUGCUAUUAACCCUGCAUCUUUGGGACCACUCCUUCCUUCGCAGAGACCUGGUUUGCUUGGACCUCCUGUUAGACGAGAUAGCUUUUCUGAUCAUGACGUGAAACGAGGAGUUGGUUCUAUGAAGUAUGGUAUAGACUUAAGAAACAAUAGCUCUGCUGAACCUCCAAUUCUGUCUAGAUUUCCUGCACCAAUUUCAGCACCUCCAGUACAUUCACAAGGUGGUUGGUUGGUAGAUGACGACAUCAAUAAAGGACAGUUAAAGAAUCGUCCUUCGGGGCCUCUUCCAGAGUCUGAUGCAUUAAAGCUAGACAAACAACGGGCUCAUCAGAACUCAACUUCUUAUAUGCCUUCGAGCUCUACUUCCACUGGUUUACUUUCACAAACAUCUGAGGUGAAGAGUGAAGAGGCUCACAUUGGGAAUAAUUUGCAGAUGCCAAAACUUUCUCUUACCAGUCAGCUACCUGUUUCUGGUGCAUUGCAAAAUCAGGUAUCUUCUACCAAUAGAGAACUCCAUGCUGAAGGUGGAAAGCUGAACCUGUUACCAUCUCCUUUAUCUAUAGGAGUCCUGCAAGAAAUUGCACGUAGAUGCAGCUCAAGGGUUGAAUUUAAGUCUGUUCUGAGCACCAGUAAGGAUUUGCAGUUUUCUGUGGAGGUACUGUUCACUGGUGAGAAGAUAGGCGUUGGGAUGGGUAAGACUAGAAAGGAUGCCCAACAACAAGCCGCCGAGAACGCCCUUCAUAACUUAGCUGAAAAAUAUGUGGCUUAUAUUGCACCUCGCUCUGGAGCUGCAGUAGACAGGGAUUUUAAUAAGCUUUCUCUUGGAAAUGAGAAUGGCUUUCUAUGGGAUACUAUCAAGCCUGGAUCAACAGAAGCAGUUGGGGAAGAUGAGUUGGCCAAAGAAAGCACUUCAGAGGCUUCUGACAUUGAGCCUGGGAGGGCAUCUUCCACAGCAGUCAAUCAGCAAGUGCAAAAGCGCGCCAAUUCCCCGAGUUCACGACAAUCUUCUCCAACUAAACGAUUGAAGGAAGAACUUCAGCAAGGUUCACAAAACUCAACCCCUUCAUGGAAGCAGAAAAGUGGGCACUCAGCAGUUUCAUGAGUAUUGGGAAAUUUUGUAGAGCAGAGAAAAAGAAGAAAAACACAAGAAAAUAAGUAAAAAGUUUUCCGGCGGAAAAUUUGCCAUAUACAGUUGGCAACAACUCUCGUCCUUAGCUCAUUCUUAAUUAGCAGCCAGCUAGCUAACACACAGGGGUACCAGCCUUCAAAAUUUGCAAAGCCAAAACGUGGGAAUCUAUUUGUUUGAUUGCUUUUGCUACUUCCUUAGAGAAGUCAUUAAUCUCUCCAACAUCAUCAGACUUUUUCCCAGUGGAACAGCCAACUGAACUCGUAACAUUAUUGUUUGAACUUGGAUUUGAUAAUUCAAAAUCAGUUAUUCUCCUUGUUAUUUCACCACCUUUCGUGCUGGAUUGUUUGCCAUAAUAUUCGCUUCCAGCCUUGUUGGAUGAGACACUGAGUUUAGGGGACCUGGAAACAACUACUUCAUGAUGAGAGUUUAACUCUGUUGGGUGCGUACUCUUAAAAUCACGACUCAAUAUAAGUAUCUGUAAAAAAGAAAAGAAAAAUGAAAUAUGAGAUGAUAGUUUAAAUGUACAAAAUAGUAUGGACUUGAUUAAAUUUA